rnacentral:tRNA from 1 species
GGGAAUAUGGCUUAGUGGUAGAGUGCUUGCCUAGCAUGCAUGAAGCCUGGGUUCAAUUCCUCAGUUUCACA